ACAGGAAGGUUUUUAUCUUCGGAUCUGUCCUUACAACACUCGUUUUGUGUGAGUGCUCUGAGUGACUCACGCACUGCUGAGCAUCCUCGUUCCAUGGUGGGUUUACUCUUCCAUUGCCUGCGUUUUUCCUGGGCUGUUGGUUACUGAGAGCAGAGGUGAGGGCUGAGGAGCAGAUAGGGCCCAUAGGGCUGGAAGGGUUAAGGAGUGCUGAGUACUUCACGUGCCAGCUGGUGAGGGAUGUAAUUAACAAAUAUUGGCUUCAGGUGUGAGCAUGACUGAUUUAUAGCAGCUUCGCAGGGGGUGGCACAGGUUGUAAUGAGUGGGGUUGCGUUUGCCCUGCUGGCCGAAGCCAUAGGGUGUGUGAGGGAAUGCCUGCAGGACGCAGGCUGGUCGUUGGUGUGUGCUGUUAAGAACCAAAAUACUCUUAAGAGCAGAGGUAAUGGGGGCCAAAUGGUUACAGCAGUGAAUUGCUGACUUAGGAAACAGGAAACAAAGCGAUGCGAUUUGUUCCUCCCCCGCUGUCCUCCAGCACUGACACCCCGUGGUACGGACACGCAGCGGCUGCACCUGAUGGCCUCAAUCAGCCCCUCCAAGUCUGUGCCCUUCCGGCUGUGACUCAGAACAGAAAGCAAAGGGCACCUCUGUGUGGUAAGGAUAAGGAUCUGUGAGAGCAGGUGCUGUGUGACACUGAGUUUGCCCUCUGAUUGCUGUUUCCAUAACCUCAUUUCUUCCCAAACAAUGCAUCCAGAAAAGGUGGAUUUUCAAGAACACAACAGAAACUUUCCCUAAAAGUUUUUGUUCCCUUGGGCAAACAAAAGCCGACAGUGCAGCUUAUGAAGGAGCCCUGGAUCUGCUCUCGGAACGCUCUGUUCCCUGGGAAGGAAGGUGUGUUACGUGGCCCUGUGACUCUCAUCCAUCACAUGACUGCAGUGCAGCAUGGAGAGACCUUUGAGUUUCCAUGGGACAAGGACACACUGCUCUGUAUGGAGAGCACCUUGAACAGCUUCAGCAAGGGCGGUGCUCCGGGGAGUUUGCCUCUCAGCUGUGGGUGCUGUCCUCAGUGAGCAGAACAGCACACCCUGCAGUGAGGCUGCAGCUGUGGUGCUUUCCUACUCCAUGACACAAUUGAAGGAUUGGUGCAUUCUCCUGAACAGUCCUUGGGGAUUCGUUGUAUUGCCCUCAGACUGCCUGCCUGGCUGGAGGGGGGGCUUGAAGACCAGGAACAGCAUUAGGAAUCAGCUGCUGGGGGAUGUUUGGGCUCUCGUUAGUGCUUUGAUGACCUGCAGAUGCUCUCAAUGAGCUGCAUGUUCUGAUGGAUCAGGUCGGCAGCUCGGAGUGCUGGACCCCUGAGCUGAGGGGCAGCCCCCAUCCAGCCUCACCCCGAGGUGUGGGGUUGGUGCCUAUGGGAGGAGGAGAUGCUUUGUAGCUGUUACAGCUGCUGUCCAGUGGCACUCUGUCUGUUAGUCUGAGGUGCUUUCAGUUCAUUUUGAAAGAACUGUGAAUUCUAAAUAUCUGGCGUGAAAAAUAACGACUUCGCUCCUGGAAAUGGUUUUGGUUUGUGCAAGCUGGGUGUAAGCAUUGUGAUAAAUGUCUGACAACUAAAAACUCCAUAUCAUUUGCUAACAUAUUGCACUCCAACAGCAGCUGGAGAACUCUGCAAAGGAGGCCUGAGUGGUGUAAAUAAGUCACAUUCAGCAGUUGGUGGCACUAAAUGUGGAUUUAUCAGUUAAAAAGGACAGCAGUGUGCUGGGAAGUGCCCAAUGGCACCGUGGGGCUGUGCUGCUAUGGCCACCCAGUGACUCCGUGCCCAAUGCGUGCAGGUUGGAAGCAAAAAGGCAGCUUUCCUGGCUGCCAGCUUCGGUGGCUCCAUCUGGGAUCUCAAAUCCAUGCUGUGUCUUUCCUGACUCUGCUGCUAAUAAUAAAGGC
ensembl:lncRNA